rnacentral:rRNA from 1 species
AUGGAGACCGGGAUUGUGUGGCUGGUGCAGGCCAUCCUCGGAACACUCCGAAUCGACAAGCUGGAUGCGUGGAUCCGCCAAGCCGGGCUUGCCGACGACAUCGAGAGGCUCCGGUGCGAGAUCGAGAGGGCCGAGGUGGCGGUCAGCGCAGUGAGGGGGCGGGCGGCCGUGAACGAGCCGCUGGACCGGUCUCUCGCUCGCCUCAAGGACCUGCUCUACGAAGCCGACGAUGUGGUCGACGACCUCGACUACUGCAGGCUCCAGCAGCAGGUCCAAGGAGUUGCAUGCGGUGAUCCUGGCAGAAUGCAUGAAGCAGAGCGAGUAGAUGAGAGAUCGAGGGGAGGUGAUGCUAAUAUACUUGGUACCAGUGGUGGCAAGAAAUGGUCCAAAGCAUGGUGUGAUUUUGAUAUCACAGAGGAAAACAACGGAAAGCCUGUGAAAGCAAAGUUUAAACACUGUCAAAAAGCAGUUAAAUGCGGAAGUGACAGAGGGACGUCAAUCUGGAACAACCAUGUCAAGAGUCAGGGUUGUAAGAACUCCAGAGCAACUGACCAGCCGCCAAACUCUUCAUGGUACAUAUUUUAA